rnacentral:rRNA from 1 species
CCUACGGGCGGCAGCAGUGAGGAAUAUUGGUCAAUGGGCGAGAGCCUGAACCAGCCAAGUCGCGUGAGGGAGUACUGCCCUAUGGGUUGUAAACCUCUUUUGUCGGGGAGCAAAAGCCGGACGUGUCCGGCUGUGAGAGUACCCGAAGAAAAAGCAUCGGCUAACUCCGUGCCAGCAGCCGCGGUAAUACGUAGGAUGCGAGCGUUAUCCGGAUUUAUUGGGGUAAAAGGGUGCGCAGGCGGAGUUUUAAGUCAGCGGUCAAAUCGUGGGGCUCAACCCCAUCCAGCCGUUGAAACUGGGGAUCUAGAGUGUGCGAGAGGUAUGCGGAAUGCGUGGUGUAGCGGUGAAAUGCAUAGAUAUCACGCAGAACCCCGAUUGCGAAGGCAGCAUACCGGUGCACAACUGACGCUCAGGCACGAAAGCGUGGGUAUCGAACAGGAUUAGAUACCCCAGUAGUC